rnacentral:rRNA from 1 species
CAUAAUCAUUAGUCUUCUAAUUUAGGACUGGAAUGAAUGGUUAGACUGAGUAAAAUUGUCUUAUUAUAAUAUUUUGAAUUUUAUCUUCUAGUAAAAAAGCUAGAAUAAAUUUAAAAGACGAGAAGACCCUAUCAAGCUUUACAAUUAAUAUUUAUUGUCAAUUUAAGUAAAAGAUUGUUUAACUGGGGCAGUAAACAAAAAGUUUUUGUUUAAUUAUUUUGAAAUAUUAUUCUUGAAAUAUCAGAAAUUUUCUAAGAAAGAAUAAGUUACUGUAGGGAUAACAGCAUAAUUUUUUUAAAGAGUUCUUAUCAUCAAAAAAGUUUGUGACCUCGAUGUUGGAUUAAGAGUCCUAUUUCACGCAAUAG